UCUAUAUACUUCUAACAAGAAAUUAUUAUCCCACAAACAAAACAUUCUCAAAAAAGAAAUAUUUAAAAUCUUCAUAAAGAAAUGCAUACAAACACUUUGCUUCUCUCUAUUUUCCUACUUUUCAGUGUGAUUGUGGCCGGGAACAGAGAAAACUCCGGCGACUCUGUAAACCCUUUUACACCAAAAGCUUAUUCAAUUCGCUACUGGAACAAACGAAUUUCAAAUAAAUUACCCAAACCAUGGUUUCUUCUAAACAAAGCUUCACCAUUAAAUGCUGCACAAUUUGCGAAAUACACAAAGCUAGCAACAGGGGAUCAAGAAUCUCUGUCAAAUGAAAUUCAAUCAUUUUGCUACUCUGCAAAUCUGCUCUGUUUUCCUGAUAUUUCAAUAAGUUUAGAUAAAGAUGGCCAAGAUACCCAAUUUUCUUCAUAUAUGAGCAAAAAUUUCACCAAUUAUGGCAAUAAAUUGCCUCGUGGAUUUGAUAGUUUCAAAAAAUACGCCGAAAAUGAUAACCUCCCUGUUAAUUCUUUCCGGCAAUAUAGCCGCGGUGGCGCUGGCCAUGAUGAUAUAUUUUCUACUUACGCACCAAAUGGCAAUGUAAUUGAUCAAAGCUUCAACACUUAUGGCACAGGCCUAGCUGCUUUUGGCGUUGGCCAAUUCAAAAUCUACGGGGCCAACGUCAAUGUACCUAAUCUACGAUUCACAACUUACUCAACUGAGGGAGUUGGUAGGAAGCAAUCGUUUACGAGCUAUUCGAAAGAUACAAAUUCAGGGACCCAAUCUUUCACAAGCUACGCAAGAAACACUAAUGGAGCAGACAACGACUUUACCAGUUACGCUAAUAACUCCAACGUAAUAGGCUCAACAUUUACUAACUAUGGUGAAUCGGAAAAUGGUGGAGGUAACACUUUCAAUUCGUAUGGAUCUAAUGCAAAUGUCCCGAAAAAUACCUUCAAGAGUUAUGGUUUAUCAGGUAAUGCUCCUAUCGAAACGUUUAUAAAUUAUCGAGAUAAAUCUAAUGUGGGACAUGAUAAUUUUGUAUCAUACGUGGAUGAUCCGAAUAGUGGUAGAGCACAUUUCAGAAUUAUGGUCAGUCAUUUGGUGAAGGAUCUGAUGAUUUUAGUAAAUAUGGUUCUAAAAUUACUGAUGCACAAACUAUUGGAUUUGAGACUUAUGGUGUCAACUCUACUUUUAAUGAGUAUAGAAGAUCAAUUCCAACAUUUGCUGAUUACAAAAAUACAACAAUUUCAUCUACUUUGAUGGGUAAAAAUAACAAAUGGAUGGUUGAGCCAGGUAAAUUUUUUAGAGAAAAAAUGUUGAAAAUUGGAACUAUAAUGCCAAUGCCUGAUAUUCAAGACAAAAUGCCAAAAAGAUCUUUUUUGCCUAGAGUGAUAUCGUCGAAAUUACCAUUUUCCACGUUGAAAAUCGGUGAUUUAAAGAAAAUAUUCCAUGCGGGAAAUGAUUCUCAGAUGGGGAAGAUGAUCGACGAUGCGUUACUUGAGUGUAAAAGAUCUCCGAGUACUGGUGAAACAAAGAAGUGUGUCAGAUCAAUUGAGGACAUGAUUGACUUUUCCACCUAGGUGUUAGGUCAAAACGUUGUCGUACGAACAACUGAGAAUAUAAAAGGGUCAAAGAGAGAUAUUUUAAUUGGAUCGGUGAAAAGAAUCAACGAUGGGAAAGUAACGAAAUCGGUAUCUUGUCAUCAGAGUUUGUUUCCAUAUUUUGGUUUAUUAUUGUCCUUCGGUUCCAAAGGUCCGGGUUUAUGAAGCGGAUAUAUUGGAUCCGAAUUCAAAGGCUAAGAUUAAUCAUGGUGUUGCCAUUUGUCAUGUGGACACGUCAGCAUGGGUAGCGAAUCAUGGAGCUUUUACGGCACUCGGGUCGGGACCCGGAAAGAUUGAGGUUUGUCAUUGGAUCUUUGAAAAUGAUAUGAAUUGGGCAGUUGCUGAUUAAAAUGGAUCUUCCAACGUUCAUAUUCGGGUCGGAUCAAUUACGGUUCUUGUUCAAAUUAUCAUUGUCCAAUUUUAAUGCAUUUUGACCUCUUUUUUUAAAAAAUUAUUUAUUAGACUUGUAGCGAACUUACUGUAAUUACACGAUGGUAAUUACCAAGGCCUGUUUACUUAUUGUAAUAUAAUUACAGUAACGUUAAGUUAAAUUUUUCUGUAUUGCUA